rnacentral:lncRNA from 1 species
CGAUCUCACGAUUCAGACAGCAAAAUGACAGCCAUCAUUCAGGCUAGCACUGCGUACACAACUCACACGCAACUUUACUUCUAGCUCUGGGCCAACUGUGUGCUGCACACUCUUGCAAAUACCACCCUGGGGCUAACCACCUCCCAGAGAAAAGCAAGCUGCAGACUACAGCUGCUCUCCCAACCAUCCUUUCUCUGGCCACAUCAACCUGGAAGAGGCUAAGGACACAGCAUGACAUGGUGCUACCCAUGGCUGGCAGGAGGCUUUACUUUGGACCAACGGCAGGCUUGAAUUUGGACCAGUUCAGACCAAUCAAGCAGCCUCAGAUCUGGACUACUCAGCAAGCACAAACCUGACCAGUAGCCUCAAAUUUGUAUCAAUCACAGGC